rnacentral:rRNA from 1 species
UGACUNGAGUGCAGAAGGGGAGAGUGGAAUUCCAUGUGUAGCGGUGAAAUGCGUAGAUAUAUGGAGGAACACCAGUGGCGAAAGCGGCUCUCUGGUCUGUCACUGACGCUGAGGCUCGAAAGCGUGGGUAGCGAACAGGAUUAGAUACCCUGGUAGUNCACGCCGUAAACGAUGAGUGCUAGGUGUUUGGCCCUUUCCGGGGCUUAGUGCCGGAGCUAACGCAAUAAGCACUCCGCCUGGGGAGUACGACCGCAAGGUUGAAACUCAAAGGAAUUGACGGGGGCCCGCACAAGCGGUGGAGCAUGUGGUUUAAUUCGAAGCAACGCGAAGAACCUUACCAGGUCUUGACAUCCCGAUGCUAUUCUUAGAGAUAGGAAGUUACUUCGGUACAUCGGAGACAGGUGGUGCAUGGUUGUCGUCAGCUCGUGUCGUGAGAUGUUGGGUUAAGUCCCGCAACGAGCGCAACCCUUAUUGUUAGUUGCCAUCAUUAAGUUGGGCACUCUAGCGAGACUGCCGGUAAUAAACCGGAGGAAGGUGGGGAUGACGUCAAAUCAUCAUGCCCCUUAUGACCUGGGCUACACACGUGCUACAAUGGUCGGUACAACGAGUUGCGAGCCGGUGACGGCAAGCUAAUCUCUGAAAGCCGAUCUCAGUUCGGAUUGGAGGCUGCAACUCGCCUCCAUGAAGUCGGAAUCGCUAGUAAUCGCGGAUCAGCACGCCGCGGUGAAUACGUUCCCGGGCCUUGUACACACCGCCCGUCACACCACGAGAGUUUGUAACACCCGAAGUCGGUGAGGUAACCUUUU